GGUGAACGCUGGCGGCGUGCCUAACACAUGCAAGUCGAGCGGUGCAGUUUGAAGCUUCGGUGGAAAGCUGCAUAGCGGCGGACGGGUGAGGAAAACGUAGGAACGUGCCCCUUGGAGUUGGAUAGCCACGGGAAACUGUGGGUAAACCGACAUAGACUCGAGAGAGUAAAGGCCGAAAGGCGCCAAGGGAGCGGCCUGCGGCCCAUCAGGUAGUUGGUAGUGUAAAGGACUACCAAGCCGACGACGGGUAGCCGGUCUGAGAGGAUGGCCGGCCACAAAGGGCACUGAGAGACGGGCCCUACUCCUACGGGAGGCAGCAGUCGAGAAUAGUCUACAAUGGUCGGAAGACUGAUAGUGCGACGCCGCGUGAACGAUGAAUCCCUUCGGGUGUAAAGUUCUUUAUAUGUGAGCAGUGCUUCUUAUAUUAACAGUAUGGGGAGAGAGAUAUUAGCAUAUGAAUAAGCAACGGCUAACUCCGUGCCAGCAGCCGCGGUAAUCUCGU
rnacentral:rRNA from 1 species